rnacentral:rRNA from 1 species
GGGAAGUAAAAGUCGUAACAAGGUUUCCGUAGGUGAACCUGCGGAAGGAUCAUUAUCGAGUUUUGAACGGGUUGUAGCUGGCCUCUCACGAGGCAUGUGCACGCCUGGCUCAUCCACUCUUAACCUCUGUGCACUUUAUGUAAGAGAAAAAAAUGGUGGAAGCUUCCAGGAUCUCGCGAGAGGUCUUCGGUUGAACAAGCCGUUUUUCUUUCUUAUGUUUUACUACAAACGCUUCAGUUAUAGAAUGUCAACUGUGUAUAACACAUUUAUAUACAACUUUCAGCAACGGAUCUCUUGGCUCUCGCAUCGAUGAAGAACGCAGCGAAAUGCGAUAAGUAAUGUGAAUUGCAGAAUUCAGUGAAUCAUCGAAUCUUUGAACGCACCUUGCACUCCUUGGUAUUCCGAGGAGUAUGCCUGUUUGAGUCUCAUGGUAUUCUCAACCCCUAAAUUUUUGUAAUGAAGGUUUAGCGGGCUUGGACUUGGAGGUUGUGUCGGCCCUUGUCGGUCGACUCCUCUGAAAUGCAUUAGCGUGAAUCUUACGGAUCGCCUUCAGUGUGAUAAUUAUCUGCGCUGUGGUGUUGAAGUAUUUAUGGGGUACAUGCUUCGAACCGUCUUCUUGUGAGACAAUCAUAUGACAAUCUGAGCCCCAAUCAGGUAGGACUACCCCCUGAACUUAAGCGAUAAAUAAGCGGAGGA